rnacentral:rRNA from 1 species
UACGUAGGGUGCAAGCGUUGUCCGGAAUUAUUGGGCGUAAAGAGCUCGUAGGCGGUCUGUUGCGUCGGCUGUGAAAACCCGGGGCUCAACCCCGGGCCUGCAGCCGAUACGGGCAGACUAGAGUUCGGCAGGGGAGAGUGGAAUUCCCGGUGUAGCGGUGAAAUGCGCAGAUAUCAGGAGGAACACCGGUGGCGAAGGCGGGUCUCUGGGCCGAUACUGACGCUGAGGAGCGAAAGCGUGGGGAGCGAACAGG